GAUGAACGCUGGCGGCAGGCUUAACACAUGCAAGUCGAGCGGGGUGAUGGUGCUUGCACUAUCACUUAGCGGCGGACGGGUGAGUAAUGCUUAGGAAUCUGCCUAUUAGUGGGGGACAACAUCUCGAAAGGGAUGCUAAUACCGCAUACGUCCUACGGGAGAAAGCAGGGGAUCACUUGUGACCUUGCGCUAAUAGAUGAGCCUAAGUCGGAUUAGCUAGUUGGUGGGGUAAAGGCCUACCAAGGCGACGAUCUGUAGCGGGUCUGAGAGGAUGAUCCGCCACACUGGGACUGAGACACGGCCCAGACUCCUACGGGAGGCAGCAGUGGGGAAUAUUGGACAAUGGGGGGAACCCUGAUCCAGCCAUGCCGCGUGUGUGAAGAAGGUCUUCGGAUUGUAAAGCACUUUAAGUCGGGAGGAAGGGCUGUAGGUUAAUACCCUGCGGUUUUGACGUUACCGACAGAAUAAGCACCGGCUAACUUCGUGCCAGCCGCCGCGGUAA
rnacentral:rRNA from 1 species